rnacentral:rRNA from 1 species
GAUGAACGCUGGCGGCGUGCCUAAUACAUGCAAGUCGAGCGAACAGACGAGGAGCUUGCCCCUCUGCCGUUAGCGGCGGACGGGUGAGUAACACGUGGAUAACCUACCUAUAAGACUGGGAUAACUUCGGGAAACCGGAGCUAAUACCGGAUAAUAUAUUGAACCGCAUGGUUCAAUAGUGAAAGACGGUUUUGCUGUCACUUAUAGAUGGAUCCGCGCCGCAUUAGCUAGUUGGUAAGGUAACGGCUUACCAAGGCAACGAUGCGUAGCCGACCUGAGAGGGUGAUCGGCCACACUGGAACUGAGACACGGUCCAGACUCCUACGGGAGGCAGCAGUAGGGAAUCUUCCGCAAUGGGCGAAAGCCUGACGGAGCAACGCCGCGUGAGUGAUGAAGGUCUUCGGAUCGUAAAACUCUGUUAUUAGGGAAGAACAAAUGUGUAAGUAACUAUGCACGUCUUGACGGUACCUAAUCAGAAAGCCACGGCUAACUACGUG